AUACGUAGGUGGCAAGCGUUGUCCGGAAUUAUUGGGCGUAAAGAGCGUGUAGGUGGGAUAGUCAGUCUCAUUUAAAAGAUCGGGGCUCAACCCCGUUAGGGGUGAGAAACUACUAUUCUUGAGUGCAGGAGAGGAAAGCGGAAUUCCCAGUGUAGCGGUGAAAUGCGUAGAUAUUGGGAGGAACACCAGUGGCGAAGGCGGCUUUCUGGACUGUGUCUGACACUGAGGCGCGAAAGCCAGGGGAGCGAACGGGAUUAGAUACCCCGGUAGUCCUGGCCGUAAACGAUGGGUACUAGGUGUAGGGGGUAUCGACCCCUCCUGUGCCGGAGUUAACGCAAUAAGUACCCCGCCUGGGGAGUACGGCCGCAAGGUUGA
rnacentral:rRNA from 1 species